CGCCCGCCAGGCCAGCUCUGCGUUCUCACGCCGCGGGACACGCGACGCGAGUCCCCCGGGCAGGGCCCCCACUCACGGCUCCCGAUACCCCAAGGACUGAACAACUGGCAUAAGGAAGGCCUGAUUCCCUUCCAGAUGUCCCCCAAGGACUGAAGCGUUCGGGAAACCACACUGCUCCCUAAUGAAGCCCAGCAGCCACUCCUGUCCACAGCUGUGAGUGAGGCUGUGAGUGUAGUUCGGGUUAGGUCCUGAACCCAGGAGGGGCUGAGAGUCCCUGGGAUCUGCAAUAAUCAUCUCAGGCCAGUGUGGGAUGUUGAUCUUGGAAAGAGCUUCUCCAGCCUUAAUCUCUGAGUCAGCGCUCCCCUAAG